UACGUAGGGUGCAAGCGUUGUCCGGAAUUAUUGGGCGUAAAGAGCUCGUAGGCGGUUUGUCACGUCUGCUGUGAAAACGCGAGGCUCAACCUCGCGCCUGCAGUGGGUACGGGCAGACUAGAGUGUGGUAGGGGAGACCGGAAUUCCUGGUGUAGCGGUGGAAUGCGCAGAUAUCAGGAGGAACACCGAUGGCGAAGGCAGGUCUCUGGGCCACUACUGACGCUGAGGAGCGAAAGCAUGGGGAGCGAACAGG
rnacentral:rRNA from 1 species